GAGUUUGAUCCUGCCCUCAUAUUGAACGCUGGCGGCAGGCCUAACACAUGCCAGUCGAGCGGAAACGAGUUAACUGAACCUUCGGGGAACGUUAACGGCGUCGAGCGGCGGACGGGUGAGUAAUGCCUGGGAAAUUGCCCUGAUGUGGGGGAUAACCAUUGGAAACGAUGGCUAAUACCGCAUAAUAGCUUCGGCUCAAAGAGGGGGACCUUCGGGCCUCUCGCGUCAGGAUAUGCCCAGGUGGGAUUAGCUAGUUGGUGAGGUAAUGGCUCACCAAGGCGACGAUCCCUAGCUGGUCUGAGAGGAUGAUCAGCCACACUGGAACUGAGACACGGUCCAGACUCCUACGGGAGGCAGCAGUGGGGAAUAUUGCACAAUGGGCGCAAGCCUGAUGCAGCCAUGCCGCGUGUAUGAAGAAGGCCUUCGGGUUGUAAAGUACUUUCAGCAGUGAGGAAGGUGGGUAUGUUAAUAGCAUAUUCAUUUGACGUUAGCUGCAGAAGAAGCACCGGCUAACUCCGUGCCAGCAGCCGCGGUAAUACGGAGGGUGCGAGCGUUAAUCGGAAUUACUGGGCGUAAAGCGCAUGCAGGUGGUUUGUUAAGUCAGAUGUGAAAGCCCGGGGCUCAACCUCGGAAUUGCAUUUGAAACUGGCAAACUAGAGUACUGUAGAGGGGGGUAGAAUUUCAGGUGUAGCGGUGAAGUGCGUAGAGAUCUGAAGGAAUACCGGUGGCGAAGGCGGCCCCCUGGACAGAUACUGACACUCAGAUGCGAAAGCGUGGGGAGCAAACAGGAUUAGAUACCCUGGUAGUCCACGCCGUAAACGAUGUCUACUUGGAGGUUGUGGCCUUGAGCCGAGGCUUUCGGAGCUAACGCGUUAAAGUAGACCGCCUGGGGGAGUACCGCCGCCAAGAUUAAAAACUUUAUUGGAAUUGACGGGGGGCCCGCCCAAAACGGGGGGGAGAC
rnacentral:rRNA from 1 species